GAUGAAGAACGUAGCGAAAUGCGAUAAGUAAUGUGAAUUGCAGAAUUCAGUGAAUCAUCGAAUCUUUGAACGCACAUUGCGCCCUCCGGUAUUCCGGGGGGCAUGCCUGUUCGAGCGUCAUUAUAACCACUCAAGCUCUCGCUUGGUAUUGGGGUUCGCGGUUUCGCGGCCCCUAAAAUCAGUGGCGGUGCCUGUCGGCUCUACGCGUAGUAAUACUUCUCGUGAUUGAGUUCGAUAGGUCUACUUGCCAGUAACCCCCAAUUUUUACAGGUUGACCUCGGAUCAGGUAGGGAUACCCGCUGAACUUAAGCAUAUCAAUAAGCGGAGGA
rnacentral:misc_RNA from 1 species